rnacentral:misc_RNA from 1 species
AUGAAAACUUCCUAUUUAUUUCUGAAGGCAUAUUAAAAUGGACGCUAUUCACAGUAAACUUCAUCAUCAUCAAAUGAUAUAAAAUAAACAAACAAAAGGGUGUCCCCAUGAAUAAGGCUUCCAACAUUGCAGGCUUUAAGGAGGACUUAAGAAGGAUGUUUCAGUGGUUUGAGCCCUUGAUCUCCAAUCCACAUUGGAACAUAAACAUUGCCCCCAUCCUCCACAGAGGAACGUAAAGACAUGAAUAAAUCAGUUAAAUAAAAUUUACAAGGGUUGGGCUUCUCAAUA